rnacentral:lncRNA from 1 species
CUUUGAACAAACUACAAUAAGACAGGCUCAGACUAUCCUAUCUGACAGCUCCCAUCCUCUGCACUCUGAAUAUACACUGUUAAACUCAGGUAGGAGGUAUAGGGUUUCUCUGUGCAAACACAACAGGUACAAACACUCAUUCAUCCCUCUCUCAGUCAAGCUCAUCAAUGAAAAACGGUGAAAAUGACUGUAUGACAACAUGUGAGAAGCAAUGUCUUUUUUUUUUUACAGUGGAAUGUAUGUUAUGAGAUGGAGUAAUGCAUAGGUAGCUAGGACUAUAUGGGGAGUGGGGGGAGGGAUAACUGUAUGCACAGGGAACAAGAUCUGGUAGAUGAGUAUGCAAGGAUGAAUGAAUGAGACCAGAAUUAAUGUUGAUCGUAUGCCUGGUUGGUUUGCUAUUGCUAUUGUUGCACAGGUAUGGAUGUAUGAAUGGAGGAGCAGUUUUUGGUCAGGAUGAAUGCUGAGUGUUUGGUGUGAUUGCUAUUUGCACAGGAGUGUGGGAAUUUACAGAUUGCUAUUUUUGCACAUGAAUGCUUGUUUGCACAAUACUAAGUACAACAGUUUUUGAGCCUGUUUGUCCAAUAGUUUUUACUGAUCGUUUUCGUAUCCGUGAUUUGCCAAUACUAUGUUCUACAAUUUUGCACUUGCCCAUGUGAUGAACUGUUUGUAUGUUGUAUGUUGUAUGUUGUUUCAUACUGAUGUGAUGCAGCUAUUGCCCAGAUCCAAACAAAUUUCUCCCCUGGGAGACACAAUAAAUUGACUUGACUUAACUGCUUUUCUCCCACAUUUUUGCUUGCAGAUUGACAAGGCUUUGCUUACACUGAUGACUGAUGAGCAGCUUGCACGAUAUAUACCAACCUAUGGCGAUCGACUAGCUGUUGUCUCUUUUUGUCAUCAGCAGCGCCAUACACCUAACAGAGUGACCCUUUUGGAGAGGAUAAGGGAGAAGAUAGGGGACAGGAAGAUGUUGAAAACGGAUUGUCACACGCCAUCAGAAUCGCAUGGAUUUUCUAGAAAGUGCAACAAAAGUGGAGAAAAGGUGGUACGGAAGAUUGAAAUUGGGUGGCUUCACUAUUCAAAACCUCACUACACCCAGGUGAGAACGAGGCAUGGUGGUGGGACUAGACACACAACGGUUCCUAAAGAAACUACCGUGGAGCAGGUUCUAGAAACCGGAAAACAGCUGUUUUUCCCAAAUGGAUCGUCGACCAAGGGGCCACAACAUAUUUUUGAUUUUGAGGUGCGUGACUUCAAAAGGAAUUGCAUUCCGUUGGAAGAGACCGUGGGCAAGUUGUAUGAGUCAACAAAGUUGAAGCUUCUCCGUUUUUACAUCUGCUCAAAGGACAAAUUCUCUGUGGAGGACGAAAGUGACUCAUCGACUGAAGAUUUAGAAGAUCUAAGCACAGGGAAUCUGAAUGCCAUUGUUUCAGACCCUGCAACAUCUGACUCAUCCACCAACAUUCCCAGUGAUCGGCAAGAGGAGGCCGACUUCAUUAUUAAUGUUGAUGACACCGCUUCAGAGCAGUCUUCUGAUUUGGACAUUACAGACAUAGAAGACACGAGCCCGAGGAGAGUCAAAGAUUCCAAUGCAGUCUCAGAGUCAGACACAGUAGAGUGGUGUUCGGAUUAUGAGGCUGCUUCAGAGGAUGAGGUGACAGUCCAAAUAAGAUGUUCAAAUGUUUUACAGGUAAUUAAUGUUAAUAGUACCUAAUGAGAAAGGGGCAAAUUUCAGGGAAGCAUGUAACCAACAAUCUUAUAAAAUGUUGGGAGUGCUCAUUCUGAAUAGCUGUGAUUCUAAACUCCAGUUUGCGAUUUAAACUGCUAAUUAGCACGUUAGUAUAGAUGGUUCCUUUGAAUACCCUUUUUGACCACGAUGGCAUUAGAAUCACAGAAAGUCUAGUCCUGUAUGCAUUAGGCUUCACAUUUAGUAAGCAAUUGCAGGAUCACAUUCCCUCAUUUUUGAAGGAGGUUUUUUUUGAUCAUAUACAUCUCUGCACUCUUAACA